rnacentral:rRNA from 1 species
CCUGCGGAGGGAUCAUUACCGAGUUCAUGCCCUGACGGGUAGACCUCCCACCCUAUGUUAUAUUACCUUUGUUGCUUUGGCGGGCCGCCCGGCUUCGGCCAGGCUACCGGCUCCAGCUGGUAAGCGCUCGCCAGAGGACCCCCAACUCUGAAUAUCAGUGUCGUCCGAGUACUAUAAAAUAGUUAAAACUUUCAACAACGGAUCUCUUGGUUCUGGCAUCGAUGAAGAACGCAGCGAAAUGCGAUAAGUAAUGUGAAUUGCAGAAUUCAGUGAAUCAUCGAAUCUUUGAACGCACAUUGCGCCCCUUGGUAUUCCGAGGGGCAUGCCUGUUCGAGCGUCAUUACAACCCUCAAGCACUGCUUGGUAUUGGGCUCCGCUGGCUCCAGCGGGCCUUAAAAUCAGUGGCGGCGCCGUUUGGGCUCUGAGCGUAGUAAAUAUCCUCGCUAUAGAGACCAGGCGGUUCUUGUCAUCAACCCCCAACUUUCUAAGUUUGACCUCGGAUCAGGUAGGGAUACCCGCUGAACUUAAGCAUAUCAUA